rnacentral:rRNA from 1 species
UACGUAGGGGGCGAGCGUUGUCCGGAGUUACUGGGCGUAAAGGGCAUGCAGGCGGUGUGGCGCGUUUGGUGUGACAGCGGCUGGCUUAACUAGCCGAGCAUACGAAAGACGGCCAGACUUGAGGACUCGAGAGGGACACGGAAUUCCGGGUGGAGUGGUGAAAUGCGUAGAGAUCCGGAGGAACACCGAAGGCGAAGGCAGUGUCCUGGCGAGGUUUACCUGACGCUCGUGUGCGAAAGCCAGGG